UUCCAGCUGUUUUCUCAGGCAAUGAUGAGCACAUCCCUACAUUAGAUUUCAGAAGGAAAAAGCUGUUGCAGCACACAAGAGGUAUGCAUGUUACACAGGAUGCUCCAUAUUUAGAAAAAGGUAAUGUUGCUAAUGAAAUUUUAUUUUCAUUCUUCCACAUAGUACUUGCUUUAUAUUUGUCUGAGACAUCUUCAUACCUCACUUGCCAUUUUUUUCUUCCACAGCACAUAUACGUUUUUUUCUCCAUUUAAGCUGAAAGCACCACCUACUACACCCCAAUUUGUAUUUUAACAUGCUGUAGACUACAUAAACCCAGAUUUUCACUAAUACACUUCAUAAUAUUGAGCUGUACGGAAUUGUAAGAUAUUUAGAACAAGUCUGGCUAUACUUUGCAGGGCUGUCAAGUAAUUAAAUACAUUUAAAAUGUAUUUCUUCGCAGAUUCCAUUUUUCCUCUUUAGGUAAAAGAAUUGGGAAUUUGGAUUAUGCUGAGAACACGAACUGAACACAGAAAAAUGGUGUGGCACCUCACCCUUAAAGUCCAUCCUUCAUGCUCUAGUUCUGUUACAAAUAAUAAGCUGAGCAGCUUAAUGCAAAGCACAGGGAUCAGAAAGUUUUCAAUGGGUUGUUCCAACAAAAACACAAUCCGUGCUGUCCCAAACCCCAAAGUUUUGCUCCGUGUAGCUGCUGCCUUCCCCCUCCUCAGUCACCAAUGCGACGACUGACAGAAAUCUGCCAAGUCACUUUGAAGUAAAAACUAGUUGAUUCUAGAGAAAAACAGUAAUUAGUUGCACAGCGCAGAGAGAAGCCCUCCAGAAACAUGCGUAAGGAUGUUAUUGUAGGAGAUAGGUGGGGAAAAGCACUCUUCCUGCUUUUUGCCUGGUUUACAGGGAUUUUUCCCAGGCGCCAACAGCUCCCACAGCAAACCCCUCCUGCCCUUGCCUGUACUCCAGGCUGAGCCAGUUCCUUCCCCCCCGGCUCACCAGAACAGGAAUCCCCUUUUCCAAGGGGAUUAUCAGCACGAGCAGUUUUUUGGGUUUUUUUGGUUUUUUUUUUAAGCAAAAGCACACAUAGAACCGAGCGAGCCGCAGCCCCCGGCGCCGGGACCCGCUCCCAGCCAUUGUGCUCCGCGCAGCCCCCCGGGCUCGGGCGCGGCCCCGCGGGGCUCCACAAAGCUCCGCCACAGGCCGGACGUGCCCGGUGCCCCGGGCCUCCCCUCCCCCCGGUAUUCCGGGAAACCUCCGGGAGGAGGAGGAGGAGGAGGAGGAAGCGGCGGCGCUGCGGAACAGCCCCGCUGCGGAAAAGCCGCCGGGGCAGGUGGCAGGGAGGGAGGCCCCGCCGGGGCUGGUUCCCUCCUCCAUCCCGGUGCCCCCCCUCGCCAUCCCGGAGGCACCGAGCGCUUCCUCCUCCCUCCCACCAGGACCGCGUGCGGGAGCUCGGGCCCACCUGCCCCGUGGGGAGGGAAGGAGGGAGGGCUAGAGGGGGACCGGACCCGUCCCCUCCCCGAGGCGGCGGUGGCAUUUCCCCCGCCGGAAAGAGGCGGGACAUCCCGGACGAUUGACAGGUUUUCUGGCCAACUGAGCUAAGAGGCGGGGUGAUGUGGUGGGAGCGGCGGUAUGAUUGGUUAGGGUGGACAUCAGUCACGUUGCAAGCGAAGAGCCGAUUGGCGGUGGCCGCGAUGGGGCGGUUCCUCCCAGAGCAGCCUGCGCUGCUGUCACAUCCGCUGGUCCCGCUCUCGCCGUUCCCUCAGUGGUUUCCUGAGGGAAGAGGGAUCUCCUGAGGGGAGCGGGAUCGCCGGGCUCCCGGGAGAAGCUCCGCGCCACGCUCCGACGGGCCCCCAGGACCAUAUAUGGUCCCUCCAUACCGCCAGCCUGCAUCCUGGUGUUUCCAUAGGGAAGAAACAAAAGCGGUGUAUAACCAGAACUGGUGUUAUUUCAGCUUUUUCCUAUACAAGGAAAUGGGAAGACAGUGAAAAAUGUUGAAAUGUACAUAGUUUACAGCUUGUAUGCCACACACACUAUAGGAUUGGAGGCAUACAUAUAUAUACAUAUACAUAAUGGAGUGAGGCAGGAGGGAAAAGAUGGGAAUUGUGCUGUGGUUUCUGAAGAGAGAGACUGGAGGUUUUGAACACUGUAACAAGGAAACAAGUGGUGAAAUGCCACAUUAUUUCACCAAUCCCAUUUUUCAGUGUGUGCUAAUCACAUUCCUUGGGAGCGGUAACCUUGAAAUCUUCACCUUGCAGAUUUUUCAUAGUGUCCAACUUCCUAACCUGCUGCUGCAGCUUGCAAGAAAUAAAUACAACAAAUUGUGAAAAUCACCCGAGGACUUUAUUUCCUCCAGAGGUGCUGCUGCUUUAAAAGGAAAGCAAGAACAAUGAGCACAAUUUCCUCCUGUCUUGGAGGUUUCUGGCCCUGCUGAGGAUGUGAGGAGCCACAAAGAACCCACGUGGAGGACACCUAUCCUGGACCACACCUGAUCUUUUGCAGCCCUCUUCAAAGCAGUGCACAAAACUCCAAGGAUUCAUGGCCCAUGGAUUGGAAAUAGUCCUAGAAAAACACAAUGCCUAUGCUUAUUUUUCUGAAGAUCACUCGUUAGAUUUCCCGUCAGCACUGUCAGAGGGUGAAAUCUUGGCCCCAGCUGAACUCAACAGGAAUUUUGCCACUGACUUGAAUGGAGCUAAAAUGUCACUCCUGCUAUUUGUCAAGCCAAUUACAUCCAGACAAUACUUUAACAUCUGGCUUCAAGUGAACACACAGAGCAGUUUGCUCCCUCAGUCUCUGAAGACAACAUGGGACAUUGGCUACCUCCAUAAAAAAUGAACCAUUUGUUCUUGUCAAGCUGCUUGUAAUGAAGAGGGGAUCCAUCCAGUGACACCCAGGAACCAAGUCCCUGUUCCUUAGCCUAUAGUUUUUGGCAAUAGCAUCAAUAGAUUUUCUGUCACUUUCUGGGAAGAAUGUCAAAAGCACCCAUCUACUGUUGUAAGUCAUUCUGUUGUAAAAACUUUGUUUAGAACAGCAGAUCUGGCCUCAUCUGUGGUUUCUCACAGACAAGGGGGGCUUUCACCCAGUUCAUCUUUUGUUUCCUGAGGCACUGGAAGGUCUCUUGUUAGGUCACGGAGCAGCAUUUCUGUCUACACCCUUCUCUGAGUAUGGUGGUCAAAAGUAAGGCUGAAGGACAACUGAUUAUAGGAGAACAAAUGGUGUGAGCUCAUUUCUUGUUCUAAAAACCCACCUGAAACAAGGCAAUGUUGAUUUAUUGCAAAAUAUAAAGGUUAGGUCAACCUCAAGUAGGGCACACCUUUUCCUGGUAGGAAAAAAAACCCCUAUAUAUAAAAUUAUUUGAUCACUGGUGAUUAAAAAUCUGUUUGAAUGUGAAGAAUCACAGGAUCACAGAAUAGUUUUGAUUGGAAGAGACAUUAAAGAUUGUCCAAUUCCAGCUCCAUGCUGUGGGCACAGACACUUCCCACUAGACCAAGUUGCUUCAAGCCCCAUCCAGCCUGGCCUUGAACACUUCCAGAGAUGGGGCAUUCAUAACUUCUCUGGGCAUCCACAGCUUCUCUGAGUCAUUGGAUGAUGUCUGGAAGAAGAGGGAUGUGCAAAGAGAGGGAUCAGGUAGAGAGGGAUCUGUUCCCAGCUCUAGUACUGGUGAGUUGCUGUACUGCUCACCUGUGCAAAACCAGCUUCCCUUGGUCUCCUUCCAUCCCCUGGGAUGCAAAACCAAACUCACUCACCAGCAUCUGAUGAGCCUUAAUUCCCAGCACUUAAAUAAUUCGCUUCUCAAAUGUACGAAAACAACUCUCAUUUUCUGGAUUAAUGAAGGGAGCUGGGUUCCACUGAGCACGGCUAUUACGGGGCUGCUAAUGCAGUGUUUGAUUCCAUGGCUGCCACUGAGCACAGAGCGAUCCAGGCCCCUGGGAGAGCAGCAGCUCAGGGAGAGAAACCUGCAGGGUUAAAGUGGGAGCCAGCAGGGGAAACCCUGGCACUGCUUUGUGGGUUUAUGCAGAGGGAGGGAUGGUUUUAUUUCUGAGUCUCAUCUGGGUUUAUGAUGGUUCCCCAUAUCCCAGAUGAAGGCUGAACUCAGGGAGAUCCUGAGGGUGGGUAGUUUGCUUUAAUCACAGGCCAGGUAAAGGCAGCUUCUCAAGCAGGGUAACAAAAACGUGACACAAACAGAAACCUAAAACUUAGGUAGUCACACAGUGGCUUCUGCCCAGAUUCUGUAGACAGAGCAGUAGAGAAUGGCAAGGAGCUGGAAGGCUACAGUGGAACUGGAAUGUUCUUGUCCUCUGUGUUCAUUUGGCUGAGGAGUUGGUAGGAAAACUGGUUGCAAAAAGUCAAUCUUGCCUCAUUUUGGCAGGUACAGGCAUCUAAACUCUUCAAAACAAGCUUCUGUUCUUUCUUUGGCACAGGGCUGGCAAGUCUGUUGUUCCCAAAAGGAAGGAGAGGGGGCUGAGGAAAUGUCAGCCUGCAAAGGCUGCCUUGCUCUGCCCUGGGAGUUUUAAACUGAGUCCACUUUACAUGGACAACUCAACACUGUUGGACUGUUCCUUUCCUCUCUCUGCAUCGCUGCUUCCUUGCCUUGUACAUGGAAUAGGGAAGAGAAAAUAACCACAAAAUCAGGGAAUUUGAGCUGUAACUGCUGCCACUCAGCAAAGUGAUGCAGCUUCUCAGAGAACUGGAGAUGAAAAGGCCUGGAGUGUUGAUUUUCUCAAAUCCUUCAGCUGUCAAAGAGCCCUUCAGAGUCAUUCUCCCACUCCCCUUAGAACAUCCAAAAUAGUGAUCUUGCAGCCCUAGAUGUGGAUUUGGGGCUAAAUAUCUUCUCACACUGAAGUUCUCCUCUAACAACUUGUCCUUCAGCACAGGGCAUCUGUCACAUCUAUAAACCAAACCAAACCAAACCUAUUUAGCUCUGUAAGAAAAGUCUGAAAUUGCAAUGGAAGCCCUGGGUUAAUCAAGCACCUUGGUGAAAAUAUAGCAGGAGUUGAGAGGUUAACAUGGAAAUUCAUGGAACUGUGAUGGUUUAUCCAGCAAAGUUUCUGCUUCAUUCAGUGCCAGGCACCAGGAACCUGCUCAAGAAGCUCACCUUCCCAAAUCAGGAGCACUUCCCUGGAGGUGGUCAUUCAAAAUUAAGCACCUUUGAAAAUGCAUGGAUGCUGCUUCUCAUGUCAGGGCUUGUUGGGCCACUGACUUGAGAGGAGUAAUUUAGCUGAAGCAAUCAGGAAAUAAUUAUUACAGUGGAGAGUUAAAAGACAGUAAUUAAACUGUAUAAAUAAAUAACUGAAGAGACUAAAAAGUCCACCCAAAGCCUACUUUUGGAGCACUAUUUAAUGUAAAUGAAUCACUUAGUGGACAAUACAACAAUCAUCUGUUCAGCUUCUAUUCAUUAUCAAAAACAAUACAGAAGGAUUGGCAGGGAAUAGUCGUGUGCCAGAGGGAGCCCUUUAGGAAAUACCACAGAAUCAGGACUGGCUUUUGUCUGUUCUUCUAUUGUGUUCUGACAAUGCUUUGCUAAUGAACGUCAUUAGAGUUGUCUUUUUAUUUUUUUUUUAUUUUUUCCCCCCAAAACCAGAUCAGUGGUAAUCUUGGCCUUCUAGAGUUGCUUGUUCCUGUUGGGAAGGCUUCCACACAUUAUGUAUCAGUUUAGCCAGGGUCCAGGAGGCUGAGCAUGUGUUGUCUCAGGCCCACUGGGAAAUCCCACUGUAGGUGAUGAGACAAAAUCCUUUAAUUUGGGCAAAAAUCCAUCAAGUUUUAAAGAAAUCAUCACGUGUCUGAAACAGGCAGUGCUUAGCGAGUUGUAUACUCAGUAAAUUUGUCUUUUGUUACUUUAUUUGAAAGGACAAUAACCUCAUUCUGAGAAACAAGCUGCUUUUCCAUAGGGAGUAUUUACACUGAUCAUUCCCAGCAUUAUCAUGGCAGUUAUCUGCAGGAAGCUACAGGCUGAAGGGAAUCCCCAUCAGGAAUCUGGGGAGCUAAACCCACCAGGCAGACACCUGUGCUAGAACAGAGGUAAGACAAUAUCAAACACUAAAAUGCUGUGAUUAUGCCUCAGAACUGAUGAUCCCCUGGCAUUCCCAUCCCUUAGGAGUUACUGGUUUGGAAUAGCUCCAAGUUCACACCUGAGGGUGCAGCAGGUACCCAGAGGGGUUCCCUUUUCUGACCUGGUUCCUUGGAUCACUUCUGCAUUGCUGCUGCAACUUUCAGCUCCUGCAGCGUUGCUGGUUGGAGCCCCGCAGCACAAAAUCACUGUGACAGUCUGAGUUAAGAAAAAAGAGCAACAGUGAUACACUUAAAAGAAUAAACAGGCUUUUCUGCUGAGAAAAUGCACGUGGAAUAGCACCCGGAUUUGACUUUCCAA